GAAUUCUGGCAAUGGAUUGCUGGUUGGAAAGAAAAAGCACCACUUCCUGCUUGGCUUAUGAAAAUCCCCCAAGUACGCUCUUCUCUGAUUUUCUCCAUCUGCUGGCUUACUGGCGAGGACUCCAGAGACCUAUGAGAAACAAGAACUUUAAGGCAGAAGAAGCCUGGAACAGAGCCUGCUGCCACUCCUUUGUCACCCCAUCAGAUGCUCCAGUUGACCUUGAUGGGGUACUGUUCAAUGGUGUGAAUUUCCCUUCCGUGAGGUUCCAUCUGUCAGACUGAACUCUGCCUGCUCAGAGACUGCCUCCCAGAUUCACCACCAGCAUCAGCACACGGGGUGGGAGAGUCACGAGGCCCAGCCAAGCCAGCUGCGCCAGCUCUACCAGGACCCUGAGGAAGAACUGGGAUUUCAGACCUGCGAACGUGACUCCCAGUAUUUGAAGUUGUGCCAAAGGGAUGAUCCAAAGGGAUGAUCACAGACAGCAGCUAGAUGCAGUCUGAUUGGAAGCUGGACCCUCAGGCAGCAGCCAACUGGAGUAAAGCCCAUCAUGAAUUGCUCAGCUCUUCCCCGUUGUAGUUGAUUCUCCUUGAAGACGAGGUUUGUUUCCAGAUCUCCUUUAAGAUGAAGUUUGUUU